CCUACGGGCGGCAGCAGUGAGGAAUAUUGGUCAAUGGGCUUACGCCUGAACCAGCCAAGUCGCGUGAGGGAGGAAUGCCCUAAGCGUUGUAAACCUCUUUUGUCGGGGAGCAAAGCGAGGCACGGGUGACUCAUUGAGAGUACCCGAAGAAAAAGCAUCGGCUAACUCCGUGCCAGCAGCCGCGGUAAUACGGAGGGGGCAAGCGUUAUCCGGAUUUACUGGGUGUAAAGGGAGCGUAGACGGCAGCGCAAGUCUGAGGGGAAAUGCCGGGGCUUAACCCCGGAACUGCCUUGGAAACUGGGCAGCUUGAGUGCAGGAGAGGUAAGUGGAAUUCCCAGUGUAGCGGUGAAAUGCGUAGAUAUUAGGAGGAACACCAGUGGCGAAGGCGGCUUACCGGACUGUAACUGACGUUGAGGCUCGAAAGCGUGGGGAGCAAACAGGAUUAGAUACCCUUGUAGUC
rnacentral:rRNA from 1 species